rnacentral:rRNA from 1 species
UACGUAGGGACCGAGCGUUGUCCGGAAUCAUUGGGCGUAAAGAGCGUGUAGGCGGCCAACUAAGUCCUGCGUGAAAUCUCGGGGCUCAACCCCGAGCGGUCGUGGGAAACUGGUUGGCUAGAGUGCGGGAGAGGAGAGUGGAAUUCCCGGUGUAGCGGUGAAAUGCGCAGAUAUCGGGAGGAACACCGGUGGCGAAGGCGGUUCUCUGGGCAGUAACUGACGCUGAGGAGCGAAAGCGUGGGGAGCGAACAGG